rnacentral:rRNA from 1 species
UUGGACAGAGAAUGACCCUAUGAAGCUUUACUGUAGCUUGAAAUUGGAUUUUGGCUUGAUUUGCGCAGAAUAGGUGGGAGGCUAUGAAAAUGACUUUGCGGAGUUAUUAGAGCCAUUAGUGAGAUACCACUCUAAUUAAGUUGAAAUUCUAACUUUGAACCGUUAUCCGGUCAAAGAACAGUUUCAGGUAGGCAGUUUGACUGGGGCGGUCGCCUCCUAAAAAGUAACGGAGGCGUGCAAAGGUUUCUUCAGGCUGGUUGGAAAUCAGUCGUAGAGUGUAAAGGCAAAAAGAAGCUUGACUGCGAGACUUACAAGUCGAGCAGAGACGAAAGUCGGCCUUAAUGAUCCGACAGUACUGAGUGGAAAGGCUGUCGCUCAACGGAUAAAAGUUACUCUAGGGAUACAAAGGGCUGAAAAAGAACCCCCUUGCCUGUGAUGUUUCAUUUUAAGGAAGGUGACCGCAUUCUUUCAAGGAUUAAAUAGAAAUUGCUAGUGCGGUUUACGAAAAUGAACCCAAGUAUCAAUUUAAGGUUGAAAGGGGGGGGAUUAUACUGAAGUUUAUAACCUGAAUUCCCUGCUUUUUUGCCCUCAGUCUCAAUGAAGACGCUCUUAAGGGACAAAAAAAAUUCUAAGGGAAACGGGUGCUGAUCAAACACAUGGUUAUAUACAA